CAGAGUUGCAAAACUCCCUAAACCCAUGUGAACCUUACCUGAAGUUUGUUGCUUUGGCAGGUGGCCCCAGGGCGGGGCCUGACGCUUCUCGCGAGGCGGCCUGCCAGAGGACCGAACACUCUGUCACAGUUGGUACUACUCUGAGUUACAAUCUAAAUCAGUCA
rnacentral:misc_RNA from 1 species